UACGUAGGGGGCAAGCGUUGUCCGGAUUUAUUGGGCGUAAAGAGCGUGUAGGCGGCCACACAGGUCUGCUGUGAAAACUCGAGGCUCAACCUCGAGCUGUCGGUGGAAACCGUGUGGCUAGAGUCCGGAAGAGGAGAGUGGAAUUCCCGGUGUAGCGGUGAAAUGCGCAGAUAUCGGGAAGAACACCGAUAGCGAAGGCAGCUCGCUGGGACGGUACUGACGCUGAGGUGCGAAAGCGUGGGGAGCGAACAGG
rnacentral:rRNA from 1 species